UGUCUCCAGACAUCGCCACUUGUUUCCUGAGGGCUAAAUUACCAGUUGUUGUAAACUACUGUUUUACAUACUUUUUGGUUUUUUAAUCUCUAAAGAGAGGAGUUGUGAAAAGAUGUGUCUUUUCCAGCUCUGAUAUUCUCUGACCUGUCCAGCUAUGCUCACAAAAUUGAUGAGAAACUCUAUCUGUUCUUAUCAGAUGCAGAUAAGAAACGUGGGAAGCCACAAGAAAGCCAAGUAGCCUGGGAAAAAGUGGUCAUUGAGCCAUGAGAAAAAAUUAACAUUUGAUCCUGUUGGUGCCACCUGAAGGCAGAGAUGGCUGAGGACCCCCGAGUGUAUAUAUCUGGAACUUAUUUAUCAGAGCAUCACUAAGAGCUUUUCUGUAAGAGUGAUUGCCAUUUAUUUAAUGUAUGAAUGAAAGACUUAAGAAUACAUCUGACCCAGGCAGCCUGGGUUCAACUCUCCAUGUGAGAAUACCAAGCUUGGCUGGGCACAGUGCCUCACAUCUGUAAUCCCAACACUUUGAGAGGCUGCGGCAGGAAGAUUACUUGAAGCCAAGAGCUGGCGAACAACCUGGGCAACAAA
rnacentral:lncRNA from 1 species